ACCCCCCAAAAUUAAAAAAAACCCUAGCACCCAUAUUCCUUCUUCUUCUUCUUCUUCUUCUUCUUCAGCAGAGCAGCGGCGCACCUCAAAACAAUCACCUCUACAAUCACCUCGGUCGUCUUCUUUGGCGAGUUGAUGCCGCGCUCCGGCUGCUGCUCCUCUUAAUCUCCUUCUCCGGCGAACUCGGCUGAGAAAUCGAGUGCCUGCAGAGUUAUUCCCAAGACAAUCGUGCCUAGAGAGGUAUGUCUGCUGUAAUCUUGAAAAGUCUUGGGCCUUUCUUGAUUAUUAUAUUUUUUAGAAAAAUAAAGAAAACCUCAGUAGUAUAUUCCAUGGUUUAUGAGUUGAGACUUUGAGUUAUUUAGGAGUUAGGAGUGCUUUACUCUUUAAAGUAUUAACAAUAUUUCUGUCAGUUUUGAUGUGCAAAAAAAAUUAUAUUCUUACAUAUUUCAUUGUCUGUGCUUUCCUUUUCCUUGUAAUUUUUCUGGGGGUCUGAAGAACACUGCUUCUUUCUUGGUCCUUAUUGGCCUUAUCCAUAGCCUAUAGUACUUUGGGCAGUUGGCUUUUCACUAGUUUUAUGCAUUCUUAGGUUGCUAAUAUUUUCUCUGAUUUUUCCUUUUUCUGAGUAGCAUAGCAUGCUUUAUUCACUAUGUUUCCUGCUGUUAGAGUUCUUGUAGUUUUCCCUCUUGGCUCUUUGUGAUUUGUUCAUUGUUUUUAAACUCAAGUAAAUUCGUGGAAUCGUGAGGAAGAGCAUGAAUGGUCAGAAACAUGCAAUCUCUAUUUCACAAUCAUGUACUUUUUUUCCUAUUCCUUAAUUUUAAGAAGACUACAUCAAGCUUGUAAAGCAAAAUAUAUGUAUCUACUUUUCUCUUAUAUAUUUCUUAUUCUCAGGCCAUACAUUCUAAACGUUUAGAUAUGUGAAUUAAAUUAUUUUUUUUCCCCUUGAGUAGAGCAUUAGUGAAGUGUGAUUUUUUUCCUUUUAGUUUUCUGUGUAGUAUGAAGCUAGACAUUCAAGUCUUGCUUCAACUCAUGUUAACUUGUUGAGUGCUUGUUGAUGUGACGGUGCAAAUCCCCCUUUCACUGCUUUGUUUUGUUUCUAAGCUAGGUAAAGCAAUGGCAUGCAUGUAGGUAAUACUGAUGAAUGCUCUCAUUCUCCGAAUUUCCUGAGCAUAGUUGAAUGUAUAUUAAAUUAUCACCUUCCAAUUUCAUUUUAUCUGGUUGUGUUAUUUUCCUCUCCUUUUUUUUGAGUCAACCUCAUGUAGCAGCUUGGAACUUGAAAAUCAGCAUGAAUUUGCAUCAGAGAUUAGUAAGGUUCGGAAACAGAACAAACAUAUAAUGAUGUCGUUGAAACUAUGUAAGCUAUUAUAGCUCUUAGCUCAGUUGGUGAAAUUAAAGUUGUGCUGAUAUUCUCUAUCGAAUUGGCAAAUACCUCGACUAUGGUUUAUCAGCAAAGCAUAGUCGUUUUUAUCGCCCAAUGCUCGACUAUGGUUUAUCAGCAAAGUAUAGUCAUUGAUGGUAGUAAGUCUGAGGCAUGGCUCUGUUAAUUUUCUUUUUCUCUACCAAAUUCCUCGGCAUAAUAAAGUUUACUUGAUUGCACCACUUCCAGGUUUUCGUCCAAAUAUCAGAAGAAAUCAGAAAGUAAUGUUUGACAGAAUGGAAACAUUUUGCUCGAAAUCAGAAAUCAGUAUGUAACGUUCUCUCUUCAAAGGGACAUCAUUUUUACUAAAACGAUUAGCACAUGAACAUGAUAUCUGCAUUUUGGUACAUGAAUGUGCAAAUUCUUCAGGGGUAAAUUUAUUAGACAAAGUGACUACAUUACAAUUAUUCUUGUAUUCCAAUUAGACUUUCAUUUCAGAUAGAUUUUAUUUUAUUUAUGUAUUUUAAUUUAUGGAGUUUGUAAUGAGAUAUUAUCUCAAAUAUAGUACUAAUUUUUUAGAAUGAUAUGAUCAUGGAUGAUAUUUUUUAGG